AACGAACGUUAGCGGCGCGCUUAACACAUGCAAGUCGCACGAGAAAGGGCUUCGGCCCCGGUACAGUGGCGCACGGGUGAGUAACACGUGGGUAAUCUUCCCUUUGGCGGGGGAUAACCUUCCGAAAGGAGGGCUAAUACCGCAUAAGACCACGACUCCGAAAGGAGACGCGAUUAAAGCAGGCCUCUAUACAUAAGCUUGCUCCAAAGGAUGAGCCCGCGGCCCAUCAGCUAGUUGGUAGGGUAACGGCCUACCAAGGCAAAGACGGGU
rnacentral:rRNA from 1 species